CAUUUUCACUUAAAAUAUCAACCAAAAACCUUCUCCUCUUUCCUUUUGAUCUCGGCAGCCCUAUCCCCACAUAACCUCACCAUUUUCAUUUCAAGAUCACCUUAUUUUUACUAAAAUUAAGCCUACAUAAGACCUUCUAAGCAUCAAGAUCAUAUGGAGCAUCCUUAGAGCUUGGUUUGGAGCUUAAUCAUCUUCUUAAUCAUCCUAUAAUCUUUUGCAAAAUUGUUGACUCGCGUUUACGGAACACGUUGAUUGAAUAUAUCUCUCUCAGGAACGCAAAGCUGAAACUAAUGGAACUUGGGUGUUGGUGUUUACUAUGAAGCUUUUGGAUUACAAGUCAUCGAUGUCAUCCCUUUUGGAGGGUUUGGUCCAUAUAUCUCAUCUUCAAUGAGAUAUAGGAUGCAAAGCCUUAUGUUUUAAACUUAUGUUGAACUCGUCUUUUGUAAAACUUAUAACUUAUUUCGUUUUUGAAUUUAAAAUAACUUAUGAUGUGUAAUAUUUUUAUUAUGUCAAUGGAUGAACAUCGUAUGUUUUAAUCAUGUAGUUGUUUACUUAUAUCGUACGCAAUGAAAACUAAUCAAGU